GGGAUUUUGCCUCAGAUUANGCCAUGCAUGUCUUAGUUCACGCCUCUAUAUGGUUAAACCGCAAACGGCUCAUUAAAUCAGCCAUGGUUCGUUGGAUCGUAAUCACUACACGGAUAACUGUAGUAAUUCUAGAGCUAAUACGUGCCCCGUGUGCCUGAUUCCCAAGAAAAAGGCCGCACUUAUUAGACCAUAAACUAACCGAGCUUGCUCGGAAUUUGUGGUGACUCUGGAUAACUUUGUAUGAUCGCAGUCGGCCUUGUUGUCGGCGACGGAUCCAUGAAGUGUCUGCCCUAUCAACUUACGAUGGUAGGUGAUAUGCCUACCAUGGUUAUGACGGGUAACGGGGAAUCAGGGUUCGAUUCCGGAGAGGGAGCCUGAGAAACGGCUACCACAUCCAAGGAAGGCAGCAGGCGCGCAAAUUACCCACUCUCGGCGAGAGGAGGUAGUAAAGACCAAUAGCGAUACAGAACUCAUUAGAGGCUCUGUAAUCGACAUGAGUGCAUUAUAAAUCCUACAUCUACGAUCUAAUGAAGGGCAAGUCUGGUGCCUGCACCCGCAGUAUCUCCAGCUCCCACACAUUUAUUAAUAUCGCUGCAGUUAAAUAGCUCUUACUUGGAUUCGGCUUGAGUCUGUACGGUGAUUGUCAUCUUUUUAUUGUACGGUCUUCUUUCUAUCUGUACCUAACUUCCCCUUGAGUCACACAGCAGGCUCCGGGCUUUGUGGGUAUAGACAUUUCAACCUAAGUUCCUUCUGGCGUAUUUCCAUUUCCCUUUAUCCCUCUUUGUCCCUUUUUUUUUUUCCGCGCUGAUCUCCCGUUUCCUUAUCUUUUCAUUUAUCUUUUCCCCCUCCACCCUUCCUUUCCUUUCUCUCGUUGUUCCCUACUUUUCCCGAUAAUUUUUUUUCUCGUUUUGUUAUUUUAAAUCCACCUAUUUCUUCUACCUAAUAAACCCCCCUUUUUCCCCUGUCUACCUACCCUUUUUUAUUUAACUUAGCCCCUUAUUGUUUUUCUUUCGCUUUUAUCUUUUUUCACUUUCUUCCCCUCUUUUUUUCUUCUUUUAUUCCCCUAUUAUCUUACUCAGACCAUUUUUUUCCAUCCUUUAUCCUUUCAUUAGUUCCGUACUCCUCUAUUUUUCCUAUCCGUUUUUUUUUUUCCCUCCUCCGCCCCCACCCUUUUUCUUUCAUCUGCAGUUAUAUAGACAUUAACUCUGUCGCAUUCUCCCUUAAGAUUCUAUUUAAAUGUUCCUCAUUUAUUCCCCACCCGCGCCCCACUGCCCCAAUUUGCCAAACCUCUUACUUACACUUUUUUACCAA
rnacentral:rRNA from 1 species